rnacentral:rRNA from 1 species
AUUGAACGCUGGCGGCAGGCCUAACACAUGCAAGUCGAACGAGUGGCGGACGGGUGAGUAAUGUCUGGGAAACUGCCUGAUGGAGGGGGAUAACUACUGGAAACGGUAGCUAAUACCGCAUACCAUCAGAGGUGCCCAGAUGGGAUUAGCUAGUUGGUGGGGUAACGGCGCACCAAGGCGACGAUCCGUAGCUGGUUUGAGAGGAUGACCAGCCACACUGGGACUGAGACACGGCCCAGACUCCUACGGGAGGCAGCAGUGGGGAAUUGUGGACAAUGGGCGCAAGCCUGAUGCAGCCAUGCCGCGUGUAUGAAGAAGGCCUUCGGGUUGUAAAGUACUUUCAGCAGGGAGGCGGUACCCGCAGAAGAAGCACCGGCUAACUCCGUGCCAGCAGCCGCGGUAAUUC